CAAUGGGGCCAAUGGGCUGUGGGGCCAAUGGGGCCAAUGGGGUCAGUGGGUUCUGGGGUCCCUGCCUUAUGGGGUCCCUGGGUUGUGGGGCCAAUGGGGCCAAUGGGGUCCGUGGGUUCUGGGGUCCCUGCCUUAUGGGGUCAGUGGGUUCUGGGGUCCCUGCCUUAUGGGGUCUGUGGGUUAUGGGGCCAAUGGGGUCAGAGGGUUCUGGGGUCCCUGCCUUAUGGGGUCAGUGGGUUC
rnacentral:lncRNA from 1 species